rnacentral:rRNA from 1 species
CGCAUCUGUGCAUGCAGCAUAUCAAUAAGCGGAGGAAAAGAAACUAACAAGGAUUCCCUUAGUAACGGCGAGUGAAGCGGGAAGAGCUCAAAUUUGAAAUCUUCAAGGUUUUACCUUGACGAAUUGUAGUUUAAAGAAGUGUUUUCUGUUGAAGUUUUGGUAAAAGUUCUUUGGAAUAGGACAUCAUAGAGGGUGAGAAUCCCGUAUUUGACCAUUAUUUACAGCUGUGUGAUACACUUUCAAAGAGUCGGAUUGUUUGGGAAUGCAGUCCAAAAUGGGUGGUAAAUUUCAUCUAAAGCUAAAUAUUGGCGAGAGACCGAUAGCGAACAAGUACCGUGAGGGAAAGAUGAAAAGAACUUUGAAAAGAGAGUUAAACAGUACGUGAAAUUGUCAAAAGGGAAGCGUUUGACACCAGUGUUGUUUUCUCGAAAAUCAAUUAAAAAGAGUUUGAUUUUGUUGUGUAUUGACCUUAACAGCUUGCAUUUCAAUUUUCUUGCUUUUUUUAAUGCACUUUUCGUUUAACAAGUCAUCAUCAGUUUCUUUUGUUGUAAAAAGGUCAUUGGAAGGUGGCUUUCUUUUCGGAGAAAGUGUUUAUAGCCUUUGACUCCUGCAAUCGGAGAGACUGAGGUCUGCAGCGUAGAUCCUUCGGGGUUAGAUACAUUUGUGCUAAGUUAUAGCUUUUUAUAGACAACUUGUUGACUAUGAUUAGUCUUGUAGCUUACUCGCUUAUGCUAUUUUACCUACGCUUAGGAUGUUGACGCGCGUGUGUGCGUG